CAGCUAAUUUUUGUAUUUUUAGUAGAGACAGUAGAUGUUGGCCAGGCUGGUCUUGAACUACUGACCACAAGUGAUCUGCCUGUCUCCACCUUGCAAAGUGCUGGGAUUACAGGCAUGAGCCACAGCACCUGGCCCCUUCUUUCUUUCCUUCCUUCCUUCCUUCCUUCCUUCCUUCCUUCCUUCCUUCUUCUUCUCUUCUCUCUCUCUCUUUCAUUCUUUCUUUUUUCUUUCUUUCUCCCUCCCUCCCUCUCUCCCUUCCUUUCUUCCUCUCAAUGAACAUAGUAUUUUGAAUACUAUAGUAGACUAAAUAGUGCCCCCCCCACCAAAGGUCCAUGUUGUAAUACCUGGAACCUGUGAAUAUGUUACCUUACAUGGCAAAGGGCACUUACUUUGCAGAUAUGAUAAAGAGGGACUCAGAAGGUGUCAGAGUCAAGGAAGACAAUAUGACAACAAGCCAAGAGGGGUUUGAAGAUGCUACUUUGCUGGCUUUGAAAGGGGCCAGAGCCAGAGAAUCCAAGGAAUGCAGCUCUAGCAGCUGGAAAGGCCACAGUUCUCCCCUAGAGCCUCUGGAGGGAGCGCAGCCCUGCCAGCACCGUAGGUUCAGCCCGGAUGCACCAUUUCAGACUUCGGACCUCCAGAACUAUAAGAGAAUAUAUUGUGCUAUUUUAAACCUUAAAGUUUGUGGUCAUUUGUUCCAGCAGCAACAGGAAACUAAUUUGAGCACCAAGCACUGUAUCUGAUAUAACCAAAGCUUCAAAGGAGGGUGCAGGCCCAGGAGUCGUGUGGCCACUGCCAGGAGAGCUAAAGCCAUAAGACUCUUGGCCACCUCGCUUCCUGCCUCUCUCAGUUGAUUCCCUGUGACUCUAUCCCUGCAUGGAGGAGAGACAAGUGAAAAUGAAAGACAGAUGAAUGUGUCAAGUUGAGAGCUCUUUACAUGAUGAAGGUGUUUCUGCUUCAUUGCAUGAAACAGAACAUAGAGCGGUGAUAAAACCCAGCCAGAUCCUUUGGGUUGACUUCCAACCGCAGGUGGUGGUUACUCAUUAGGAAAGAGCGAACACUGUAAUGACUUCAAAACUAAGGAGUGCAAAGCCAAAUAUUCACUAAUAAUCACUCAUCAAGGAGAACAGAUGGCACACGUUGAACACUCCUGAAAAUGAAAGCCCUUGGCUGCAGGGGUGAAUGUCCAGGACCCACAGAAAAUAUCAAGUCAGAUACCUCUUGAAGCACUGAUGGGAAGGUGCAGCUGGACUCCCUGGAACUCUGAAGCUGAGAGACAGAGCACUACGGAAGGGAGCCCCAUUCCCAAGCAUGGUGUCCAAUACACUGAAAGAAUAACUGGGCUCAGUAAUGCACCUAGAGACUCAGAUUCCAGACCUGCCCACUUGCUUUACUAUCCAAAACAACCAUGACACAUGACUUCUCUGGCGGGGUGUUGGCCAAGACAAACUGAACUAUAGAAGAUCCUUGACUUGCCAACGUUCAAAUGAUGAACUUUCAAAAAUAGCGAAACUGGCUGCAGAGCAAAAGCUUUUCAGCUCUGCACAACACCAACAGAUGGCGCUAAGUGUCACCCUUGUGGAGAGCAGAGGGACCUCGGAAGGGCCUUUGGAAAUCUAAUCUGGUUUUGAGUUCUUGGUGGGAAAAUGCACCUUUAAGUUGGGGGAGUUUGAAGACGUUGCCAAGACACGUGCUGCAGCAUUUGAUCUUUUCUGCCGCACUGGCUUCUGCAAUUAACAUGCUUUCACCAGUGAAACUCAGGUUGCGGGGAGAGCAUUCUUCCAGGUUCAUGCCUGUUGUCAUGGAGUAAUUAUAAUUCAUGUCUCCGUUCACAG
rnacentral:lncRNA from 1 species